rnacentral:rRNA from 1 species
AGCGAAAUUCCUUGUCGGGUAAGUUCCGACCUGCACGAAUGGCGUAAUGAUGGCCAGGCUGUCUCCACCCGAGACUCAGUGAAAUUGAACUCGCUGUGAAGAUGCAGUGUACCCGCGGCAAGACGGAAAGACCCCGUGAACCUUUACUAUAGCUUGACACUGAACAUUGAGCCUUGAUGUGUAGGAUAGGUGGGAGGCUUUGAAGUGUGGACGCCAGUCUGCAUGGAGCCGUCCUUGAAAUACCACCCUUUAAUGGCUGGUGUUCUAACGUAGACCCGUAAUCCGGGUUGCGGACAGUGUCUGGUGGGUAGUUUGACUGGGGCGGUCUCCUCCUAAAGAGUAACGGAGGAGCACGAAGGUUGGCUAAUCCUGGUCGGACAUCAGGAGGUUAGUGCAAUGGCAUAAGCCAGCUUGACUGCGAGCGUGACGGCGCGAGCAGGUGCGAAAGCAGGUCAUAGUGAUCCGGUGGUUCUGAAUGGAAGGGCCAUCGCUCAACGGAUAAAAGGUACUCCGGGGAUAACAGGCUGAUACCGCCCAAGAGUUCAUAUCGACGGCGGUGUUUGGCACCUCGAUGUCGGCUCAUCACAUCCUGGGGCUGAAGUAGGUCCCAAGGGUAUGGCUGUUCGCCAUUUAAAGUGGUACGCGAGCUGGGUUUAGAACGUCGUGAGACAGUUCGGUCCCUAUCUGCCGUGGGCGCUGGAGAACUGAGGGGGGCUGCUCCUAGUACGAGAGGACCGGAGUGGACGCAUCACUGGUGUUCGGGUUGUCAUGCCAAUGGCACUGCCCGGUAGCUAAAUGCGGAAGAGAUAAGUGCUGAAAGCAUCUAAGCACGAAACUUGCCCCGAGAUGAGUUCUCCCUGAGACUUUAAGUCUCCUGAAGGAACGUUGAAGACGACGACGUUGAUAGGCCGGGUGUGUAAGCGCAGCGAUGCGUUGAGCUAACCGGUACUAAUGAACCGUGAGGCUUAACCUU